rnacentral:tRNA from 5 species
GGGGCUGUAGCUCAGCUGGGAGAGCGCUUGCAUGGCAUGCAAGAGGUCCGCGGUUCGAUCCCGCGUAGCUCCACCA